GACCCACCUGAGCAGCCCCUCAGUCAUGUUCAGUUGGACUAUCACUAGCAGACCCUUCGGCUAUUCCAGUAUCGCCAAAUUCUCCAGUUUAGUCCAACCAGUUUUAACAGAUAUCAUGAUGGAAGAAUUUAAGGUCCUUCACACGCACCACUUUUUAAAUGACCAAUCUUUUUACAGCUAUGCCAGAAU